CGGAAUGUGGCUCAGCUUGGUAGAGCGCUUGCUUCGGGAGCAAGAGGCCGCGCGUUCGAAUCGCGUCAUUCCGA
rnacentral:tRNA from 1 species